UACGUAGGGUGCGAGCGUUGUCCGGAAUUAUUGGGCGUAAAGAGCUCGUAGGCGGUCUGUCGCGUCGAUCGUGAAAACUUGGGGCUUAACCCUGAGCCUGCAGUGGAUACGGGCAGACUAGAGGUAGGUAGGGGAGAAUGGAAUUCCCGGUGUAGCGGUGAAAUGCGCAGAUAUCGGGAGGAACACCGGUGGCGAAGGCGGUUCUCUGGGCCUUACCUGACGCUGAGGAGCGAAAGCGUGGGGAGCGAACAGG
rnacentral:rRNA from 1 species